rnacentral:rRNA from 1 species
AGAUUGAACGCUGGCGGCAGGCCUAACACAUGCAAGUCGAGCGGCAGCACGGGUACUUGUACCUGGUGGCGAGCGGCGGACGGGUGAGUAAUGCCUAGGAAUCUGCCUGAUAGUGGGGGAUAACGUUCGGAAACGGACGCUAAUACCGCAUACGUCCUACGGGAGAAAGUGGGGGAUCUUCGGACCUCACGCUAUCAGAUGAGCCUAGGUCGGAUAGCUAGUUGGUAGGGUAAGGCUACCAAGGCUACGAUCCGUAGACUGGUCUGAGAGGAUGAUCAGUCACACGUGGAACUGAGACACGGUCCAGACUCCGUAGGGAGGCAGCGAGUGGGGAACUAGUUGGACUAAGUGGGACGAAAGCCUGACGUACCGAAGUCCGAAGUCGGCCGUACCGGUGGUU